AUACGGAGGAUGCGAGCGUUAUCCGGAUUUAUUGGGUUUAAAGGGAGCGUAGGUGGGAUAUUAAGUCAGCUGUGAAAGUUUGGGGCUCAACCUUAAAAUUGCAGUUGAUACUGGUUUCCUUGAGUACGGUACAGGUGGGCGGAAUUCGUGGUGUAGCGGUGAAAUGCUUAGAUAUCACGAAGAACACCGAUCGCGAAGGCAGCUCACCGGGCCGGAACUGACACUGAUGCUCGAAAGUGCGGGUAUCAAACAGGAUUAGAUACCCUGGUAGUCCGCACAGUAAACGAUGAAUACUCGCUGUUUGCGAUACACUGUAAGCGGCCAAGCGAAAGCGUUAAGUAUUCCACCUGGGGAGUACGCCGGCAGCGGUGGAACUUAAAGGAAUUGACGGGG
rnacentral:rRNA from 1 species